AUUGAACGCUGGCGGCAGGCCUAACACAUGCAAGUCGAGCGCAUGAAGGGGGCAUGCUCCUGGAUUCAACGGCGGGCGGAUGAGUAAUGCCUAGGAAUCUGCCUGGUCGUGGGGGAUAACGUCCGGAAAGGGGCGCUAAUACCGCAUCCGUCCUAAGCGAUAAAGUGGGGGUUCUUCGGACCUCACGCUAUCUGAUGAACCUAGGUGUGAUUAGCUAGUGGGUGGGGUAAAGGCCUACCAAGGCGACGGUCCGUAACUGGUCUGAGAGGAUGAUCAGUCACACUGGAACGGAGACACGCUCCAGACUCCUACGGGAGGCAGCAGUGGGGAAUAUUGGACAAUGGGGGAAAGCCUGACCAAGCCAUGCCGCGUGGGUGAAGAAGGUCUUCGGAUUUAAAAGUACGUUAAGUGGGGAGGAAGGGCAGUAAGGUAAUACCUUGCUGUUUUGACGUUACCAACAGAAUAAGCAACGGCUAACUACGUG
rnacentral:rRNA from 1 species